CAAGAUCUAAAUUUUCUUACUUAAGUUCGAAUUCGGUCCAGAUCUAUUGGAUCCAAAAAAAUGGGAUGUAGGUCUAGAUCCAUAAGAUUCACAAGGUCUCGGGUACAGACCCGAAUUCACAUUCUUUUCUCUUCUAAAAUAAAUUCUAAACUAACUAUACAUCAAAAUAAAAAUCAUAAUAAUUCUCUAAAUUUUCAACAAUCAUUCUAAACAAAUAAAUACACC
rnacentral:lncRNA from 1 species